AGCAGCCGCGGUAAUUCCAGCUCCAAUAGCGUAUAUUAAAGUUGUUGCAGUUAAAAAGCUCGUAGUUGAAUUUCGGGAUCAAUACGUUGGUCGUGCCUUGGUACGUACUGGCAUUAUCGAUUCCUACCUUCUGAAGAACCUCGAUGUCAUUAAUUUGGUGUCUUGGGGAAUCAGGACUGUUACUUUGAAAAAAUUAGAGUGUUUAAAGCAGGCUCGCGCUUGAAUACAUUAGCAUGGAAUAAUGAAAUAGGACGUUUGAUUCUAUUUUGUUGGUUUCUAGGAUCGACGUAAUGAUUAAUAGGGAUAGUUGGGGGCAUUAGUAUUCAAUUGUCAGAGGUGAAAUUCUUGGAUUUAUUGAAGACUAACUACUGCGAAAGCAUUUGCCAAGGAUGUUUUCAUUAAUCAAGAACGAAAGUUAGGGGAUCGAAGACGAUCAGAUACCGUCGUAGUCUUAACCAUAAACUAUG
rnacentral:rRNA from 1 species